rnacentral:rRNA from 1 species
UACAGAGGUCUCAAGCGUUGUUCGGAUUCAUUGGGCGUAAAGGGUGCGUAGGCGGCGCGGUAAGUCGGGUGUGAAAUCUCGGGGCUUAACUCCGAAACUGCAUUCGAUACUGCCGUGCUUGAGGACUGGAGAGGAGACUGGAAUUUACGGUGUAGCGGUGAAAUGCGUAGAUAUCUGGAGGAAUACCGGUGGCGAAGGCGGCAUCCUGGACCGAGAUUGACGCUGAACGGCGAAAGCUAGGGGAGCAAACGGG